UCUCCGUAGGUGAACCUGCGGAGGGAUCACUACAGGCUUGCAAAAGCUCUGAAACCACCGUUUAUCUACCUGAAUCUGCUUCGGCGGGCGGCCCCAGGGCGGGGCCGUAGCCGCAAGGCGCCCGCCGAAGACCCCUAAACUCUGUCGCCUUGAGAAUCUCUGAGUAAUUAUAUUAAACAAAAACAACUUUCAACAACGGAUCUCUUGGCUCUG
rnacentral:misc_RNA from 1 species